CAUUCCAGAGAAGUUAAACCCCUUAGUGUCCCAGGCUGUUACAUUCACUCCAACUGGCAUUUGGAGCUCAUACAGCACUUCAUAGUGAGCUUCUCGUGGGGAAUGCAGUCACAGAGAACUUAAUUUUUUCAGCCAUGGCUUUACUUUUUUCUAAUCCUACAUAAAGUGCAUUAGAUCUUGGGCUUUGGAUCUUCAUACCCUUCAGUGUGUAACUUAUUAUAGGGAUCAGUUAGUUCAAGGAGUAGCAUGUGUGGGAAAUGCUGGUAGUAUUAGACUUUUGUGCUUUCUUUUAUGAAGUGCUUCAUCUAAAAAUCUAUAACACUUGCAGACAUCACUAGUUGUCUUAAAGCAUUAUGGAAACCUGACCUUACCCACCCCAUCCCAUCUACAUUUGCACAUGUAUUUGGGAAUCCAGUGCUUUGGUUGCUCACCUGACAAGGAAUGUGGUGAGAGUCAUAUUUAAUGAAUAUAAGUGUUUCUUCUGCUAUGCCUGUGGUGCUUUGGUGAUAAACAUCCUUCCCCAGGGCUGCACAACCAGCAGUCUUUCUGACUUAACAGCUUGCUGUUGAGAUAGUAGUGACACGUGGUGUGGCAGUGUUAGCCCCAAAUUCUGGUUUUUGUUUUUCCCUUUACAUUUAGAGAAGGAUGCCUCUGCCAUCCCUGCUCUCCCUGUUUUAUCUCCUGCUCCCACUCUUGCUAUGUGCUCUGUUCCCCACAUGGCCUCCGUUAUCAGCCCGGUGUCAAAGCAGCCCCAAGAUCUGGGGCAGGGAUGGGAGCCCUGAGUGGCUUGGAAUCUGAGCAAAGGCACAAAAGCUGCUGUGCUACAGGGAUGCUGCUCAUUGCACCACGGCUCUGCAUGGCUUCUUCCGGGCAACCUGUGGCCAGAUCUAGUGCACAAGGUGUUCUCAGAUAUAUGCAUUUGCAGGAAGAGCUGCCACCCCCUUGCUGGAGACUGCCCACUCCUGCUCUUAAAGCAUGCAGUAGUUUUGUGUUUGUUUUUAUUUAAAGAAGACAGCAACAAAACCAACCAAACAAAAACCCGUCUUUAAUGCCAAAACAAUUUUCUGUUCUCACUGCAAAAAAAAAUUGAAAGAGGGGAGAAGUUCACUUCAGUAGCAGAACU